AGAGUUUGAUCCUGGCUCAGGACGAACGCUGGCGGCGUGCUUAACACAUGCAAGUCGAACGAGAAUCUACUGAAAGAGUUUUCGGACAAUGGAUGUAGAGGAAAGUGGCGGACGGGUGAGUAACGCGUGAGGAACCUGCCUUGAAGAGGGGGACAACAGUUGGAAACGACUGCUAAUACCGCAUGACGCAUAGAGGUCGCAUGAUCUUUAUGCCAAAGAUUUAUCGCUUCAAGAUGGCCUCGCGUCUGAUUAGCUGGUUGGCGGGGUAACGGCCCACCAAGGCGACGAUCAGUAGCCGGACUGAGAGGUUGAACGGCCACAUUGGGACUGAGAUACGGCCCAGACUCCUACGGGAGGCAGCAGUGGGGAAUAUUGGGCAAUGGGGGAAACCCUGACCCAGCAACGCCGCGUGAAGGAAGAAGGCCUUCGGGUUGUAAACUUCUUUUACCAGGGACGAAGGACGUGACGGUACCUGGAGAAAAAGCAACGGCUAACUACGUGCCAGCAGCCGCGGUAAUACGUAGGUUGCAAGCGUUGUCCGGAUUUACUGGGUGUAAAGGGCGUGUAGGCGGAGAUGCAAGUUGGGAGUGAAAUCCAUGGGCUCAACCCAUGAACUGCUCUCAAAACUGUAUCCCUUGAGUAUCGGAGAGGCAAGCGGAAUUCCUAGUGUAGCGGUGAAAUGCGUAGAUAUUAGGAGGAACACCAGUGGCGAAGGCGGCUUGCUGGACGACAACUGACGCUGAGGCGCGAAAGCGUGGGGAGCAAACAGGAUUAGAUACCCUGGUAGUCCACGCUGUAAACGAUGAAUACUAGGUGUGGGAGGACUGACCCCUUCCGUGCCGCAGUUAACACAAUAAGUAUUCCACCUGGGGAGUACGAUCGCAAGAUUGAAACUCAAAGGAAUUGACGGGGGCCCGCACAAGCAGUGGAUUAUGUGGUUUAAUUCGACGCAACGCGAAGAACCUUACCGGGAUUUGACAUCCUACUAACGAAGUAGAGAUACAUUAGGUGCCCUUCGGGGAAAGUAGAGACAGGUGGUGCAUGGUUGUCGUCAGCUCGUGUCGUGAGAUGUUGGGUUAAG
rnacentral:rRNA from 1 species